UGGGGAAUAUUGGACAAUGGGCGAAAGCCUGAUCCAGCCAUGCCGCGUGUGUGAAGAAGGUCUUCGGAUUGUAAAGCACUUUAAGUUGGGAGGAAGGGCAGUAAGCGAAUACCUUGCUGUUUUGACGUUACCGACAGAAUAAGCACCGGCUAACUCUGUGCCAGCAGCCGCGGUAAUACAGAGGGUGCAAGCGUUAAUCGGAAUUACUGGGCGUAAAGCGCGCGUAGGUGGUUCGUUAAGUUGAAUGUGAAAGCCCCGGGCUCAACCUGGGAACUGCAUCCAAAACUGGCGAGCUAGAGUAGGGCAGAGGGGGGUGGAAUUUCCUGUGUAGAGGUGAAAUGCGUAGAUAUAGGAAGGAACACCAGUGGCGAAGGCGACCACCUGGGCUCAUACUGACACUGAGGUGCGAAAGCGUGGGGAGCAAACAGG
rnacentral:rRNA from 1 species